ACAAGGCGAAACCGCGAAUGGCUCAUUAAAUCAGUUAUGGUUCACUAGAUCGUACAGUUUACACGGAUAACUGUGGUAAUUCUAGAGCUAAUACGUGCAAUCAGCUCGCUUCCUUGUGAAGCGAGCGCAGUUAUUAGAACAAGACCAAUCCGGCCUUCGGGUCGGUACAAUUGGUGACUCUGAAUAACCGAAGCGGAGCGCAUGGUCUUGUACCGGCGCCAGAUCUUUCAAGUGUCUGACUUAUCAGCUUGUUGUUAGGUUAUGUUCCUAACAAGGCGUUUACGGGUAACGGGGUAUCAGGGUCCGAUACCGGAGAGGGAGCCUGAGAAACGGCUACCACAUCUAAGGAAGGCAGCAGGCGCGCAAAUUACCCACUCCCGGCACGGGGAGGUAGUGACGAAAAAUAACGAUGCGAGAGCUAUAAAGUUUCUCGUAAUCGGAAUGGGUACACUUUAAAUCCUUUAACGAGGAUCUAUUGGAGGGCAAGUCUGGUGCCAGCAGCCGCGGUAAUUCCAGCUCCAAUAGCGUAUAUUAAAGUUGCUGCGGUUAAAAAGCUCGUAGUUGGAUCUGGGUAGCUGGACGGAUGGUAUGCUUUACUGUGUUACUGUCUGUUCGGCACCACAAGCCGGUCAUGUCUUGCAUGCUCUUCACUGAGUGUGCUUGGCGGCCGGAACGUUUACUUUGAAAAAAUUAGAGUGCUCAAAGCAGGCGUACGGCCUUGCAUAAUGGUGCAUGGAAUAAUGGAAUAGGACCUCGGUUCUAUUUUGUUGGUUUUCGGAACUCGAGGUAAUGAUUAAUAGGAACAGACGGGGGCAUUCGUAUUGCGGCGUUAGAGGUGAAAUUCUUGGAUCGUCGCAAGACGAA
rnacentral:rRNA from 1 species